rnacentral:rRNA from 1 species
GGGGUAAAAUCCGUAGAGAUAACUAGGCAAUACCAAAAGCGAAGGCGAUCUUCUGGAACAGUACUGACGCUGAGAUGCGAAAGCGUGGGGAGCAAACAGGAUUAGAUACCCUGGUAGUCCACGCAGUAAACGAUGAAUGUUAGUCGUUGGUGUCCUAGAGACAUCAGUGAUGCAGUUAACACAUUAAACAUUCCGCCUGGGGAGUACGGUCGCAAGAUUAAAACUCAAAGGAAUAGACGGGGACCCGCACAAGUGGUGGAGCAUGUGGUUUAAUUCGAAGAUACGCGAAGAACCUUACCUAGCCUUGACAUAUUUUAGAACUCAUCCAGAGUAUGGAGAGGUGCCUUCGGGAACCUAAUUUACAGGUGCUGGCACGGGCUGUCGUCAGCUCGUGUCGUGAGAAUGUUGGGUUAAGUCCCCGCAAACGAGCGCAACCCUCGUUACUAGUUACUAACGGUUCGGCCGAGGACUCUAGUAAGACUGCCUUCGUAAGGAGGAGGAAGGUGAGGACGACGUCAAGUCAUCAUGGCCCUUACGGCUAGGGCAACACACGUGCUACAAUGGUUAGGACAAUGAGAAGCAAUAUCGCGAGGUGGAGCAAAUCUAUAAACCUAAUCUCAGUUCGGAUUGUAGUCUGCAACUCGACUACAUGAAGCUGGAAUCACUAGUAAUCGUAGAUCAGCUAUGCUACGGUGAAUACGUUCCCGGGUCUUGUACUCACCGCCCGUCACACCAUGGGAGUUGAUUUCACCCGAAGCGGGUGAAGCUAAACUGGCUACCCUCCACGGUGGAAUUAGCGACUGGGGUGAAGUCGUAACAAGGUAACC